AGGAGGAUGGGACAGUGAGCUGGGAGCUCUGGGGACUGCUGGGACAAGUUUGAUGAGUUCUAUUUGUGUUGCUAAACCCCAGCAGUGACUGGUUCUCCUGAGCUCAUGAGACGUGUGAUGGUUAAACGCCACAUGAUAAGCGAUCAAUGGAAUGACAGAUUGAGGGUAGGGCUUGAGAAGUAGCACAUAGACCAGUUCUCUGGAAGAUGCAGCUACCAGCUCUGUACCUGGAACAAUUAAAAGUCAUCUCAGCUGCUUGGAGAAAAGGUGUGCAAGGUCUGCUCCAUGCUCUGGGUGUCUGAGAAAUCAGCACAGGACACAUCUCACACUCUGCAUGGUAUCUUCACUCCUCUGUGUGAACAAGAGCAGAACUGACAAAAUUCUUCAGCUGAAACAUCUGAGGAAUGACAUCUCAUCAAAGAUGGACGUUUCCAUGGAAAUAUCUGUUUCGGAUGAAAUUUUUUGAGUCUUUCACAGAUAAAAUAUAAAUAACUGGUUGGACAAGUUUUCAAUAAAUCAAAAUAGAAACUUUUUCUGGAGAAACUGAAA